AUCCUCCUUGGAGCAGUAGGUGGGGAAAAUAUCUUUAAGGUGGAUAGAUCUCACCGUUCCCAUCUUUUUGUCUCUCCUACCCGUCUAUCUCUCCAAGAAAGAAAGAAAGAAAAUUUUUCUUCUUCUCCAACUCCUAGCCGAUGCUCUCACCCCUUCCAUCCUCUUCUCUUUACAUCUUCAAGGGAUCAUGGCUUCCUCUUUUCCAUUUUGAAGCCGUGCGAUUCUAUAGUAAGGGAAGCAAAUAUUUUCCCUUUCACCUUCUUCAAGCCACACGGAUUCAACCUCUUCCUACCAAUUUUUGAGUUUUGUUCAAAGUUUAGAAUCUAAAACUUGUUUCAUCUUUCAAGUGGUAGAAUCUUGAAGGUAAUGACAAAGAGGCUGGGAAGUAGGGCAUUACUGCAGAGAGAGAGAGAGGCAGAUGCUUAGUAUUUUUCCUCUUGGUUCGACCUUAUGAUGAUGAUGGUUGGUUUUAUGUUUAGGAUGGGUCCCUUGUUGUUUUAACUUUUAAAUAAUGUAUCUUUUGGUAUAGUAUAACUAUUAUGGUGGGGCGAUGGUAAUCUCUUAUACAUUGACUUAGUACCUUUUUGUAUGUAUUGUAAGGACAGAGCCCCUUCCUAUUUAGAAUUAUUCAAGUUUUAUUAUUAUUAUUAUUAUUA